ensembl:lncRNA
GAGGACGUUUGGGACAACAGCACCAAUGUUACCUCUGGGCAGCCUUCUCUGACACCCUUGAGGUCCUACUAGACCCUGCCACGGCUUCAGCUGCGCUCAUAGGGAGCCAGUGUGCCCGAGGAAGCCACCACCAAGUCUGGAUGCCAGAGGGUUCCAGCCUCAGGGCGUUGCUGGUUGUACACAGUCCAGCCACUGAUCGCUGAAGCCUGGCAUGUACUUAGUGAGCCAGCUGCCAGCCCCACUUCAAAAUGUCCAAAAGGGUAAGCUUUUGAAAGUUCAAGAGGCUCAAAGAGACCUGUAUAAAGUUGUUCUUUCUCUUCUCACUAGAAGAAACAUCCUCUCUGAAAUGGAACCUUAUGCCAUGUACAUCCUUUCUGAAUAUGGUAAUCCCCCUGUAUGUAGUAGUUAUCGUAAUUUUAUAUAAAGAAUACAUACAAUCUUGUGAAAAAUGUCCAGGCAGCUAGUGGGGAUAAAGAGUCCUGUUUUCCCCUGGGAAAAAUUCUGGUAGGGAAAAAAAAAAAAAGAAGAAGCUGAGCGAGUUCAUUUGUCUGCAGCAGAAUUGGUCUCAGGCUGUGUUAAAAGUUGGUGCAGAUGGACAUUUGUCCAUAAACCUCCCGCUUCCUCAGUUGACCUUCACAGCAGUAUUGGCCACCGAACCCUGCAGGUUCCCCGAGGCAGCCCCCCUCACAGCAAAGAGUCAGGGUCUUCAGAUGCUGGUGCCUACAACUGCUGGUCUUGGAAAAGACAGUGUCUUAGAAUUUUGGGCACAAGUAACAGAGUAAAUGAAGAUCCAUGGAGAAUCUUGCUCAUACUCCUUAUUUUUAGACUUUUCCGGGAGUCAUUUCAUUGUAAAGUUGGGUCCAGUGGUCAAAACUCAACCUGGGCAGUUGCAGGAAUGUGCUGGCCUGUAGGUUUCCCUGAAAAGAAAUAAAAAUGCACCCUUCCUCAUUACACAGCGCUUCCAAUAAAAUCUAAGAGUUCCCAACUUUUAUUGAGAACAGAAAGGUACAUCCAAAUGGUAUAACAAGCUUCAAAUUGGUUGUAUCAAGCAGUCAACUUUGCUUAUGCACAUUCAGAAUGACAAGAGAAAAAAUAUUAAUUUCAAUUUGAAAGUCGUCAAAAAGCACCUUGUGGGCCACUUAAUGAAUAGCCUCAUGUUAAAUUAGUAAUAUAUGUUUGUUCUUUCACAAAUAAAUUUUCC